rnacentral:lncRNA from 1 species
AUCUAACCCACAAAUGAGAAACACUAACUCACAAUCCCAUCUGUAAAACCCACGGGAAUCGAUUUCCCAAAACCAAUUAUUGUAACUCGCCAGAAGUCCCGAAAAUUCCACCGGGACUCCGUCGGGACCCACGAAUUGUCCCGAAACUCAUCGACUCGUGCCACGAGUCACCCGCUGCCACUAAACACAAUAAUUUGUGUGAUCUAGCAGCAAACACAUCCUCACAUCGAAACAGUUAUCGUCAGAUAAUCGUUCUGAUCCGGAUUUCGGGAAGUGUCAAUUUCGACACCGGAACACACCGUCGCUCACCUGUCAUUUUCGAACCCUCAAAACGACACGGGUGACCAGCC